AAAUUGAAGAGUUUGAUCAUGGCUCAGAUUGAACGCUGGCGGCAGGCCUAACACAUGCAAGUCGAGCGGUAACACAGAGAGCUUGCUCUCGGGUGACGAGCGGCGGACGGGUGAGUAAUGUCUGGGAAACUGCCUGAUGGAGGGGGAUAACUACUGGAAACGGUAGCUAAUACCGCAUAACGUCGCAAGACCAAAGUGGGGGACCUUCGGGCCUCAUGCCAUCAGAUGUGCCCAGAUGGAUUAGCUAGUAGGUGGGGUAAUGGCUCACCUAGGCGACGAUCCCUAGCUGGUCUGAGAGGAUGACCAGCCACACUGGAACUGAGACACGGUCCAGACUCCUACGGGAGGCAGCAGUGGGGAAUAUUGCACAAUGGGCGCAAGCCUGAUGCAGCCAUGCCGCGUGUAUGAAGAAGGCCUUCGGGUUGUAAAGUACUUUCAGCGAGGAGGAAGGCGUUAAGGUUAAUAACCUUAGCGAUUGACGUUACUCGCAGAAGAAGCACCGGCUAACUCCGUGCCAGCAGCCGCGGUAAUACGGAGGGUGCAAGCGUUAAUCGGAAUUACUGGGCGUAAAGCGCACGCAGGCGGUCUGUCAAGUCGGAUGUGAAAUCCCCGGGCUCAACCUGGGAACUGCAUUCGAAACUGGCAGGCUAGAGUCUUGUAGAGGGGGGUAGAAUUCCAGGUGUAGCGGUGAAAUGCGUAGAGAUCUGGAGGAAUACCGGUGGCGAAGGCGGCCCCCUGGACAAAGACUGACGCUCAGGUGCGAAAGCGUGGGGAGCAAACAGGAUUAGAUACCCUGGUAGUCCACGCCGUAAACGAUGUCGACUUGGAGGUUGUGCCCUUGAGGCGUGGCUUCCGGAGCUAACGCGUUAAGUCGACCGCCUGGGGAGUACGGCCGCAAGGUUAAAACUCAAAUGAAUUGACGGGGGCCCGCACAAGCGGUGGAGCAUGUGGUUUAAUUCGAUGCAACGCGAAGAACCUUACCUACUCUUGACAUCCAGAGAACUUAGCAGAGAUGCUUUGGUGCCUUCGGGAACUCUGAGACAGGUGCUGCAUGGCUGUCGUCAGCUCGUGUUGUGAAAUGUUGGGUUAAGUCCCGCAACGAGCGCAACCCUUAUCCUUUGUUGCCAGCGGUCCGGCCGGGAACUCAAAGGAGACUGCCAGUGAUAAACUGGAGGAAGGUGGGGAUGACGUCAAGUCAUCAUGGCCCUUACGAGUAGGGCUACACACGUGCUACAAUGGCAUAUACAAAGAGAAGCGACCUCGCGAGAGCAAGCGGACCUCAUAAAGUAUGUCGUAGUCCGGAUUGGAGUCUGCAACUCGACUCCAUGAAGUCGGAAUCGCUAGUAAUCGUAGAUCAGAAUGCUACGGUGAAUACGUUCCCGGGCCUUGUACACACCGCCCGUCACACCAUGGGAGUGGGUUGCAAAAGAAGUAGGUAGCUUAACCUUCGGGAGGGCGCUUACCACUUUGUGAUUCAUGACUGGGGUGAAGUCGUAACAAGGUAACCGUAGGGGAACCUGCGGUUGGAUCACCUCCUUA
rnacentral:rRNA from 1 species